rnacentral:lncRNA from 1 species
UGCGCCACUACUGCCCGGCUUAUACUAGCUUCUCAUGAAAGCAUUUUAUUCAACCAACAGGAUGAAUUUUGGUGUCAUCAUGUGUGACCUACUCAUUAGGUUGUCAUUAAUUAAAACAAGUCUAUUGUAGGCAGAGGCAGGAAGAAAUCUCUAUGAGUUGGAAGUCAGCCUGGUCUACAAGGAGAGAUCCUAUUUCAAAAAAAAAGACAAACAAGUCUACAAGUUCCUCUGGCUCAGAGUUUGGCAAAGGCAUUUGCUAUCAAGACUGAGGACCUGAGUUCAAUCCCCAAGACCCACCUGGUGGAAGAAGACUCAGCUCCUACAAGUCAUUCUGAUUCUGACAUAUGUCACAUCCACACACAAACACAGUAAAUAUGUAAAAUCCACACGCAAUAAAUAUGUACAUAUCCACACACGUACACACACACUAAAUGUCACAUCCACACACAAACACAAUAAAUAUGUCACACACACACACAUACAAUAAAUAUGUACACAUACACACACAAUAAAUAUGUCACAUACACACACACACACACACAAUAAAUAUGUCACAUCCACACACACACAAUAAAUAUAUACACACCCACACACACACAAUAUGUACACAUCCCACACACACAAU